CUACGGGGCGCAGCAGUCGCGGAACUUUUACAAUGCACGCAAGUGUGAUAAAGCGAACCAAAGUGCCUUUCUUUCUGAAAGGCUUUUCUUUACUGUAAAAAUGUAGAGGAAUAAGGACUGGGAAAGACUGGUGCCAGCCGCCGCGGUAAUACCAGCAGUUCAAGUUGCAUCCCUUUUUAUUGGGUCUAAAACAUCCGUAGCUUGUUAUUUAAGUCUCUUGUGAAAUCCUACGUCUUAAGCGUGGGGCUUGCGGGAGAUACUGGAUAGCUAGAGAUCGGUAGACGUAAGGAGUACGCCGGGGGUAACGGUCAAAUGUGUUAAUCCUCGGUGGACUAACAAUGAGCGAAGGCACCUUACGAGGACGAAUCUGACAGUGAGGGAUGAAGGCCAGGGGCGCAAAACGGAUUAGAUACCCUUGUAGUC
rnacentral:rRNA from 1 species